rnacentral:misc_RNA from 1 species
CGGAGAACUCUCUUGUUAUGUCAUUGUUCAUCAAUUCUAUGCAAACUCAUAUAGCUCGUGGGCAUUUACUGUUGGAAAGUGCCGCUACCAUUUGGAGUGUUGUUUCUCAGACUGUUUCUCAAGUUGGGAAUGAUGCACAGAUUUAUGAGCUGAGAAACAAGGCUCAUGGUAUAAAACAAGGGGAUAAAUUUCAACAACUACCCCUGAACUUAUAUAGUUGUAACAUUAUAGUCUUUCAACUUUAAAAUGUAACAUAAAUCCCCCUCAACUUUCAAAUUUUGCACAAUAAAAUCCCACUGACUUUCAAUUGCUGAUUUUCUAAUUAGAUGCUGACAUGAACAGAUCUAGCGUGGCGUUUAGUUAAUAUUUUUCUUUUUUUUCUUAAGCAAGAUAUAAAAUUAUUCUCUCUGCGGAUGAAAAAUUAUUUUCUUUGCAGAGAGUAAAAGGAUUCAAUUUACGCAUGGUCUGAGAGAAAAAAGAGAAAUGAUGAUUAAGCGUUACGAUGAAACUGUCCAGGUUAACAUCUAACUGAAAAAUCAGUGAUUGGAGUUGGAGGUUAGAGAGAUUUUACUGAGCAAAAUUUGAAAGUUGAGAGGGGUUUAUGUUAUAUUUUUAAAUUGAAGGAUUGCAAUAUUACAACUAGAUAAGUUCAAGGACAGUUGUCAAAAUUUAUCCGUCAAUGCCAGUUUUCAGAUCAACUCAGAAUCAUGAAGUUAUUUGCAUCAGUCAACACUACAUUUACAAAUUAAUCCACUCAGGGACAUUUGCAACUCACAUUACUUAUUUGAAAAGCAUAAGAUGGAAGUUUGCUAAAAGAACAGACAUCUGAUCUAGAUUUCCUUGGUAUGUAUGAUAAGACCCCCAUCUGCCGCACAUUACACUCAUUUCUUUCUAUCUGAUGGCA